ensembl:snoRNA
UGGUCAUAUACCAAGGCUUUUAGGAGAUUCAGUUCCUGACAUGCUGUGGAAUUGACCAUAAAGUAAAACUCAUUCCAGUGGAUCUCGCCAGCGCCAUGCUGGGGUGACUUAUUGGGAACAUUG